rnacentral:rRNA from 1 species
CUGGAUGGCCGAUGGGGCCCAAAAGCUUACUGACGUCAGCCAAACUCCGAAUGCCGGUAAGUGAGAGCGUGGCAGUGAGACUGCGGGGGAUAAGCUUCGUAGUCGAGAGGGAAACAGCCCAGAUCAUCAGCUAAGGUCCCUAAGCGUGUGCUAAGUGGGAAAGGAUGUGGAGUUGCAUAGACAACCAGGAGGUUGGCUUAGAAGCAGCCACCCUUUAAAGAAAGCGUAAUAGCUCACUGGUCGAGUCGGUCCGCGCGGAAGAUGUAACGGGGCUAAAACUAGCAACCGAAGCUGCGGCUGCAUACAUUGUAUGUGGGGUAGGGGAGCGUUCUGUA